rnacentral:sRNA from 1 species
UAAAGUAACUACAUAACCAAUAACGGUCGC